rnacentral:rRNA from 1 species
AUUGAACGCUGGCGGCAUGCCUUACACAUGCAAGUCGAACGGUAACAGGUCUUCGGAUGCUGACGAGUGGCGAACGGGUGAGUAAUACAUCGGAACGUGCCCGAUCGUGGGGGAUAACGAAGCGAAAGCUUUGCUAAUACCGCAUACGAUCUACGGAUGAAAGCAGGGGACCGCAAGGCCUUGCGCGAACGGAGCGGCCGAUGGCAGAUUAGGUAGUUGGUGGGAUAAAAGCUUACCAAGCCGACGAUCUGUAGCUGGUCUGAGAGGACGACCAGCCACACUGGGACUGAGAGACGGCCCAGACUCCUACGGGAGGCAGCAGUGGGGAAUUUUGGACAAUGGGCGAAAGCCUGAUCCAGCCAUGCCGCGUGCAGGAUGAAGGCCUUCGGGUUGUAAACUGCUUUUGUACGGAACGAAAAGCCCCGGGUUAAUACCCUGGGGUCAUGACGGUACCGUAAGAAUAAGCACCGGCUAACUACGUGCCAGCCGCCGCGGUAAUAC